rnacentral:rRNA from 1 species
AGGACGAACGCUGGCGGCGUGCUUAACACAUGCAAGUCGAGCGGAAAGGCCCUUCGGGGUACUCGAGCGGCGAACGGGUGAGUAACACGUGAGUAACCUGCCCUUGGCUCUGGGAUAGCUCCGGGAAACCGGAAUUAAUACCGGAUAUGACUGCUGCUGACAUCGGUGGUGGUGGAAAGAUUUAUCGGCCAGGGAUGGGCUCGCGGCCUAUCAGCUUGUUGGUGGGUAAUGGCCUACCAAGCGACGACGGGUA